rnacentral:rRNA from 1 species
UACGAAGGGGGCAAGCUUGUUCGGAAUUACUGGGCGUAAAGCGCGCGUAGGCGGCUUUGUAAGUUAGAGGUGAAAGCCCGGGGCUCAACCCCGGAAUGCCUUUAAGACUGCAUCGCUUGAAUCCAGGAGAGGUGAGUGGAAUUCCGAGUGUAGAGGUGAAAUUCGUAGAUAUUCGGAAGAACACCAGUGGCGAAGGCGGCUCACUGGACUGGUAUUGACGCUGAUGUGCGAAAGCGUGGGGAGCAAACAGG